GAAUCCUCUGCUAGUGAAAAGACUGCCAAGAGCCCCAGCUUUCAUCAUUACUAGAGCUAGUUUCUAUUUUGCCAAUGAUUAAUUGGCUUCUACAAUAGCAAUGGCAGCUACUUGAUUUUAAUGAGAACUGAGAAGCAGAUAGUUCUUUUAGUUAUCUUUGUGAGGUUAUUGAGAUGGAACUUAUGAGGCUAGCAAUCUGAUUUUAAAAAGUAGGACUUCUGUUUUUGGCAUUUAAAUAUAGAAAUACUCCAUAUUACAUCAAAUAAGGAUACAAAUAAUUAUAGCAAAUUGCUAUGUUUAAGAGCUUUUUGAGUGACCUACCUCUCAUUAUCAUGGGUAUUUCCAAAUAUGCAGUGAGAGGAAGAUCAGCAGAACAGCUGUUCGAGCAGAGGAAGCUGACUUCUCUGCAGGAAGAAGGCAAUAUGUAUUUUCUCAUACUUAGAGGUCUUUAUUACCCAUAGGGAAGCCAUUCAAGAAUGCAAAUGAUUCUUACAGACACUGCUGUAAAAGAUCCACACACAUUCCAGCCACUACAGAAUUCCUGUUGGUGAAAGAAAAUAUUAGCAUGGGAAACUCUAAUCAGUCUUUCAUGACAGAAUUUGUCCUGCUGGGGCUUUCUGGCUACCCAGAGCUAGAGGCCAUUUACUUUGUGCUGGUCCUAUGUAUGUAUUUGGUGAUCCUGUUGGGAAAUGGAGUCAUCAUCAUUGUGAGUGUUUAUGACACCCACUUGCACACCCCCAUGUACUUUUUCCUCAGUAACUUAUCAUUCUUGGACAUCUGCUACACUAGUUCAUCUAUUCCACUAUUUCUCAGCAGCUUCUUAACGUCAAAGAAAACUAUUUCCUUCUCUGGGUGUGGAGUGCAAAUGUUUCUCUCUUUUGCUAUGGGAGCAACAGAGUGUGUCCUUCUAAGUAUGAUGGCGUUUGACUGCUAUGUGGCCAUCUGUAACCCUCUAUGAUACCCUAUCAUCAUGAGCAAGGCUUCAUACAUGUCCAUGGCUGCGGGGUCCUGGAUUGGAGGAGGCAUCAAUUCUGUGUUGCAAACCUCCCUUGCAAUGCGGCUUCCUUUCUGUGGAGAUAACGUCAUUAAUCAUUUUACUUGUGAAAUCUUGGCUGUCUUAAAAUUGGCCUGUGCUAAUAUCUCCAUAAAUAUUAUUAGCAUGGUUGUUGCUAGUAUGAUUUUUCUUGUAGGGCCAGUACUUUUUAUUUUUGUUACAUAUGUUUUUAUUCUCUCCACCAUCCUGAGAAUUCCUUCUGCAGAAGGAAGGCACAAAGCCUCCUCCACCUGCUCUGCCCACCUAACAGUGGUGAUUAUAUUCUACAGAACCAUCCUUUUCAUGUAUGCAAAGCCCAAGGCUAAAGACUCUUCUGGUGCAGACAAAGAACAAGUCACAGACAAAAUCAUCUCCCUGUUCUAUGGAGUGGUGACACCUAUGCUUAAUCCUCUUAUCUAUAGUUUGAGGAACAAAGACGUGAAGGCAGCUGUGAAGAGUAUACUGUGACAAAAAUGCUUCUUGGAAGGAAUUUAAAUGCUUCUUUAUUUAUUUUUAAAAGUAUUUUACUCUGAAUGUAGGGCUAGCUCUUACCCAGAGGUUCCAAAAUAAAUAUGAGGGUUGAUGAUUCCACUAAUUCCCGAAAUUCUCAUUUUUCUCUUCCUAAUAUUUAAAAGAAAGAGGGAAAUCCAGGACUGAGUUACCUUUUCUCUUCAUGACAGAGUUAAGGAAAAGGACAGAAACUUAUGGGUAAAAGGAUUCUCAUCCAAACCACCUUCCUUCUCAUGGCUAACAGAGUUUAGUUUAUUCCUUGAAUGGUAAAUUCUAUAAUCUAAGAGAAAGUACCAUUUUACCAACUUAAUCUUUUAUCCCCUAUCUACACCAUUCUUGGGAAGAUCAAGUAGAAAAUGUCUUGCUAAAAAUCAGAAUGCUAUAUGAUUUCAACAGUUAAUAAUUCAGAAUGAAGUAGAUUUGAUCAUGUAGAAGUAAAGGGGGAACACUGUAAGGUAUUAGGUACCUAGCCUGUAUAUAUGUAAUAGAGGGAGAAAUGGAAAAAUGAAGCUAUUUUUCCUAGGGAUGAUUUCCUUGUGGCUGCAAACUGGCAAGCCAUCUUUUGUGCAGAGGUGUCUAAGGCAAUGUGAGACUUUGUGCAGCUAACCCAGAUGAUGGGGAAAUAUGGCCUGCCUUGUGUUUCAAUAGAUGAGCAAUGAUGUCUUUGAGUGAAAAACAUUACUGUUAAAUGAUUCAAAAAAUUUACUUUAUUUCUACAUAACUUUAUAGCAUAGUUCUCUGAGAACGCAGUGAUAAUGGGUUUACUGUUGUAAGAAUUAGGUAUUUUUGCAAUUACAUGAAUUUCCUGUGGAAAAUGAGCAUUCCAUUCAUUCAUUCAGUCAUUUAUUACUCAUUUACUUAUUCAAGCAACCAGUAUUUACUGAAUACCUAUUUUUGUCUCAGGCAUUGUGCUAAGUAUUGGUGAUAUAAAAAAUAUAAGACAACCUGGAAAUGAAAAUGAAGACAUGGUUAGGGAGCACAGUCUUGUGGAAUACAGAUUGACGCAUACAUUGUAGACAAAAAUACUAAAGAAUACUUAUUUAUGGCUUUUCCUUCUCUCCUACCUUCUAAGCUGGACUCUUUGUUGGGUCUUUGUUGGACUGAGCAGAAUAAUGGUUGGAUUUUUAAUAAUUUAAAUAAGCUGAUUGUCAUAUGAAAGGGCUUGAACCAUCUCUAGAAAAGAAAUAACAUAGUGAGAAAGAACCCAGUGCAUACUGGAGAUUUUAAAGAUAGAAGGGAAGAUAUUUACACUGAUACAGCAAAAAUAGGAUUAGAGGAAAAGGAAAAAUUAGCUACAUGGGAUUUUGGGAAAGCUUUGAUGCUGGUUUUAUGUGACCUUACCUCAGUGUGUCUUGAUAAUCUCAAUAAAGAUGUAC
ensembl:lncRNA novel transcript